UUACGGUCAUACCACGUUGAAACAUCGGUUCUCGUACAAUCACCGAAAUUAAGCAACGUUGAUCCUGCUCAGUAUCUAGAUGAGUGACUGCUGAGGAAUACCAGGUGCUGUAA